rnacentral:lncRNA from 1 species
CCGUAUACUUAUCCUUUCUUUCUUACAAUCCAUCCUAGUUUUAGGACAAGGCUUUGGUAUUUAAGACAAAGCCUAAUUUGGUCCAGACAAGGAUGGAGAAGGUUCUAAAGAAAGAAAUUCAGAAGUCCAAAGAUGGUGGAGAGAGGGUUGAGUUAGACUCUUAGAGAAAUUUGAUCGGCACAAGGUUAAUCGAGUUCUAAAGGCUAGAACUCUUGAAGCA